ACUUCUUUGAAGGUAAUGGGACCAUCUGAUCUGAGAUCACACAGAAUCUUUGAUCUUAGUUGUGGCAUGUGGGAUCUAGUUCCCUGACCAGGAAUCGAACCCAGGCUCUCCGCAUUGGGAGUGAGGAGUCUUAGCCACUGGACCACCAGGGAAGUCCCCAAGGACAAAAUGAUGCUGUCCUUGAUAUGGUGUCUUUGCUGAGGGACUGCAGUGUACAGACAAGCCCUGCUGUCUGUUGGUCCUACACAUCUUGCCUUCAGCCUCCUGAACUAGCACUGUCGUCUGUUGGGCUCCUCUCCGUGUUCUUGGCCCAGAUGAGCCUGAGUGCAGCCCCUGACAAGGUUUAAGCCUCCUGGCAGAGCUCGUUUCUGAAACGAUGGUUAUUGUGUUUGUCAGUUAAUGACCUCUUUGCCUAAAUAAAGUUCACAGUCAUUGAUG
ensembl:lncRNA